UAUUGGUAAUUGUCGAUUUUCUUUUCUUUUUUCUUUUUUUCUUUUUUCGUUUUCAGUCCUUA
rnacentral:ribozyme from 14 species